UAGGGAAUCUUCCACAAUGGACGCAAGUCUGAUGGAGCAACGCCGCGUGAGUGAAGAAGGUUUUCGGACCGUAAAGCCCUGUUGUUGGUGAAGAAGGAUAGAGGUAGUAACUGGCCUUUAUUUGACGGUAAUCAACCAGAAAGUCACGGCUAACUACGUGCCAGCAGCCGCGGUAAUACGUAGGUGGCAAGCGUUGUCCGGAUUUAUUGGGCGUAAAGCGAGCGCAGGCGGAAGAAUAAGUCUGAUGUGAAAGCCCUCGGCUUAACCGAGGAAUUGCAUCGGAAACUGUUUUCUUGAGUGCAGAAGAGGAGAGUAGAACUCCAUGUGUAGCGGUGGAAUGCGUAGAUAUAUGGAAGAAUACCAGUGGCGAAGGCGGCUCUCUGGUCUGCAACUGACGCUGAGGCUCGAAAGCAUGGGUAGCGAACAGGAUUAGAUACCCUGGUAGUCCAUGCCGUAAACGAUGAGUGCUAAGUGUUGGGAGGCUUCCGCCUCUCAGUGCUGCAGCUAACGCAUUAAGCACUCCGCCUGGGGGAGUACGACCGCAAGGUUGAAAC
rnacentral:rRNA from 1 species